CGCUGGUACUACAACUACUACUAUGAUCAUUAACGAUGGAUGCUGUCAUGUACAGGAGGUGAGGGACCCCACGAGACAAGGGCAGCACCACGUCUCCCGGGGCUACAGGGGCCAGAGGGUGCUGUGCCGGAAUAACAAA